rnacentral:rRNA from 1 species
AUUGAACGCUGGCGGCAUGCCUUACACAUGCAAGUCGAACGGCAGCACGGGAGCAAUCCUGGUGGCGAGUGGCGAACGGGUGAGUAAUACAUCGGAACGUGCCCAGUGGUGGGGGAUAGCCCGGCGAAAGCCGGAUUAAUACCGCAUACGUCCUAUGGGUGAAAGCGGGGGAUCGCAAGACCUCGCGUUAUUGGAGCGGCCGAUGGCAGAUUAGCUUGUUGGGGGGGUAAAAGCCUACCAAGGCUACGAUCUGUAGCUGGUCUAAGAGGACGACCAGCCACACUGGGACUGAGACACGGCCCAGACUCCUACGGGAGGCAGCAGUGGGGAAUUUUGGACAAUGGGGGCAACCCUGAUCCAGCCAUGCCGCGUGCGGGAAGAAGGCCUUCGGGUUGUAAACCGCUUUUGUCAGGGAAGAAAUCUUCUGGGUUAAUACCUCGGGAGGAUGACGGUACCUGGAGAAUAAGCACCGGCUAACUACGUGCCAGCCGCCGCGGAAACAC